rnacentral:tRNA from 1 species
GAAAUAUAAUUAAACAAGAACUUCUAAUUCUUUAAAAAAUGUUCAAUCAUUUGUAUUUCU